UAAUACCAGGUUAUACCCUACUGUUUAGUGUUAUUAUGAGUUCUCUCCCUUUGUGAGUUUAAUACAAGGUUAUACAGUACUGUUAAGUGUUAUUAUGAGUUGUCUCCCUUUGUGAGUUUGAUACAAGGUUAUACCCUACUGUUUAGUGUUAUUAUGAGUUAUCUCCCUUUGUGAGUUUAAUACCAGGUUAUACUGAACUGUUUAGUUUUAUUUUGAGUUGUCUCCCUUUGUGAGUUUAAUACAAGGUUAUACUGUACUGUUUAGUGUUAUUUUGAGUUGUCUCCCUUUGUUAGUUUAAAACAAGGUUAUACUGUACUGUUUAGUGUUAUAAUGAGUUGUCUCCCUUUGUUAGUUUAAUACUUGUUACACUGUACUGUUUAGUGCUACUAUGAGUUGUCUCCCUUUGUUAGUUUAAUACAAGGUUAUACAGUACUGUUUAGUGUUAUUAUUAGUUGUCUCCCUUUGUUAGUUUAAUACAAGGUUAUACAGUACUGUUUAGUGUUAUUAUU